rnacentral:lncRNA from 1 species
CUUCGGUCUCUCGGGCAAGGCUUAACAAUAUAUAUGGCAGCAUUGGUGUUCAGGCAGUAUCCAAAGCUAUCGAGAAGAGCGAUUCUUUUGUCACCUUGGGCCAGGAUGGCGGUUGUAAAACGGUUGCUAACCAGCAUGAGGUUAUCAGUGUUGGUCUGCUCCAGAUAGUCCUUGCUUUCCUUGCUGAUCCGGCUCUUGACAUUGCUUCCAAAGAGCGGCACACCAUGAUCUCUCGCCUGCUGAAUGUGAGCGUCCUGGAGACAACGAAGCCGAUCACGGUGGGGUACCGCGUGAAGCUGUCCUCUGGAGAGGUUGUGGACGUGGAGGCCAGCCGGAUGAUCAGGUGGGAGAGGGAGAACUCAAAGCUGUAUGUUCAGCAAAGCAAUGGUGCUGGUGCUGGUGCUGCAGCUGGUUACAAAGAGAAGAUUGAGUUUGCGACGAACUUUGCUGACGAGAUAGCCCGAGGACUGCUCUUCGAGACGCCGGACCGGAUCCCUUCGCUUGCUGAACUCGUGAAGGUCGGCAGCCUGGUGGACUUCCAGGACGAUGCUGUCAAGUACCUGCUGAAGUCCAAGAAUCUGCAGCUGUUCCCUGAAGACGAGGCGUUCCUGAACGCUGCAUCACUAGGUCUGUCCCUCCCUGACAAACUCAGAGAGUUCAUCUCACUAUAGCAACGUCUGAAUUUUUCCCUAGUGAUGAUGCCACUGUAUACCACUCUAAUCUUCUUCUUUAUGGACAAUAUAGGUGGCAGCAAGAAAUGCUAGGGGUCUUUGGAUUUCGGAUGCUCCGUCGCGUUCCUCCGUGCAGAAUAAAUGGUGAGGACAAUUUUUUUGAUUCUUUUGGGCUUGGGCAUGCAGGAUGCUGUUCAUAUGCUGCAAUGGAGCCUGAUAUUUGUCAAUUUUUCCUUGAUACAGGCUGUUGAUGGCCGCAGUGGCAGGGAGAGCUUUGGUGGUACCGUGUAUCUCAAGGCAAUUUGUUGCUUUCAGUUCAGCACUAAACUAGCUGCUGUUUUGCUUGUUUUCGUAGUACCUUGUGUGGAUCUCUGUCCUGUGCCAGAAUCUGUUUAAUUAAGUGUCUGAGACGUCUUAAUGCUGUUGGAACUGAUACUAGUUAGUUAUGCUGUCUCUGGUUAUCUUUGCAUUAGUAUCUGGUGUCUGGGACGAAUGCUGCAUGCACAGUUCUUGUUGGUUAAGUUUAUGGGAAUCUUGUUGGUCCGCCUUUUCGAACCCUGGGUACUUGCUACCAGGUUGCUGAUAACUGCGCUGCGAAUGUGGGAAAAUCGACUAGCUCCGUUCAGCCGGUGCACUUUGA